rnacentral:RNase_P_RNA from 1 species
GGAGUCGGCCGGGCGAUCGCUGCUGCAGCAAUGCAGGGGAGGAAAGUCCGGGCUCCAUAGGGCAGAGUGCCAGGUAACGCCUGGGCGGCGCGAGCCGACGGAAAGUGCAACAGAGAGCAGACCGCCGAACGGCCUCACGUAAGUGGGGUGCGUGGUAAGGGUGAAACGGUGCGGUAAGAGCGCACCACGAGUCUGGUAACAGACCGGUACGGCAAACCCCACUCGGAGCAAGACCAAAUAGGGUUCCAUUUGCGCGGCCCGCGCAGGAACCGGGUAGGUUGCUUGAGCCCACUGGCGACGGUGGGCCUAGAGGAAUGAUCGUUCUCGACAGAACCCGGCUUACAGGCCGACUCCACUU